AUAUUCUGUCUUAGACUCUUAGUUCUGCAUCUUUUGUUCUCCAUUUCAAUGCUUAUAUACACAGGUGGUUUUUGAUCAUCAAAUUCAGCUGCAUGUGAGUGUACAGUGGGUUUAUUCAGCAUGGCUGUGUCUUAUGGACAAUUCCCACGGACUUGUGUGUGGAUCUCCACUCUUUUUUUUUUCAAUAUAAUGCUCCUGAGGGACAAUUUGCCCAACUGUUUUUUGUCCACUCUACAGUAUAUGCAGUGCUGCUAAGUCAAGUGGAAAAAGUGUCAAAUGUCUGUCCAUUCAUCUUCAUCAGAGGUCCACUGUGAAACCAGACAGGAGCAAACCAUAGAAACCCAACUGCAAGGAAAUAUGAGCCCCCUCUUCCUUCUCACCAUGUGCCUGAAUGAGAUACCAUAUGCAUCUUUUUACACUGUAUAUGUGAGCAAGUAUGUAUAGGGUGUCUGUGUGUGUGCGUGAGAGCAAAUAUGCGCUGUCCACUGGGAACAAUAUCCUGGUGCUGAUGAGUGUGACGAGAAAAAACUCCAGCAUCAGUGAUUUUGUUGCAAGAGGAGCGUCCCAACCACACUGACCAUCCUCUCAGUACGACUCAGUGCUGAUGGACUUUCUGCAUAUAAUCCAAGAUACAUGCAGUAAAUAAAAGUUUUGUCCACACAGAGAUUGUCUGCAGACAAUCGAGACAAGCUUCUCCA